CCCGCCCCAGGCCCCGCCCCGGCCCCGCGCCGAUUUAAUGAGAGCUGGGCGCGCUCGGGCUGUGCGGGAGUGGGCCAGGAGACGCAGGAAAACCGAAGCUGAACCAUGCGCGGGCGCAAGGAUUGUAACUGGAUCAACGAGACGACGUUUUCCCGGUAUCCUGUACAGUCAGGAUCUAGCUGAAGCAGGUUAAACUGUCCAAGAAGAUCACAAGAUCAAGUUGCUGGAGAAG
rnacentral:lncRNA from 1 species